rnacentral:rRNA from 1 species
CCGGCGACCGGCGCACGGGUGAGUAACAUGUAUGCGACCUGACCCCCCGCAGGGGGAUAACCGGGAGAAAUCCCGACUAAUACCGCGUAACGCCGCGGACCUGCAUGGGUCUGCGGCCAAAGGAAGCGAUUCCGGCGGGGGAUGGGCAUGCGGCGCAUUAGCUAGUCGGCGGGGUAACGGCCCACCGAGGCGACGAUGCGUAGGGGUUCUGAGAGGAAGGUCCCCCACACUGGUACUGAGACACGGACCAGACUCCUACGGGAGGCAGCAG